rnacentral:lncRNA from 1 species
AAUAAAGGUAUAUUCGAGAGCACCGAAUUGACCAAGGUGAGUCUAGCAAAGUAGAAGGCUAAUAUUGAAAAUGCCUUUUUUACAUUCCAACAUAUUUUUAAUAUACCUUUAGAGUUAAAAUCUGUUAAUGAGUUCUGUUAUCUCUAUGAAAUUACUAUUUUGCCCUUUCAAAUAUACUCUUCUACUAUCAUCGACUUUUCUUAUUUGCUCUUAAGUUAGAAGCACAAAAAGUAUUUUGCUUUUUGGUCUUUUCUAAUAUACCCUUCAAUCAUCACCAACAUUUCUUAUUUGCCUUUAAGUUAAAGGCAAAAGUGGUAUUUUAAUUUUUUUUAACUGUGAUAGAUAUUUAACUUAUGUUUAAAUCAAGUUAACUUAACGGGUGGUAACUGUAGAGGUAUUUUAGAAUAUCAGAGGAACAUAUGAGGGGUAUAUUGGAAAGAAAAAAAAAGGAAUCAAUAAUAUAUUUUCGAAGUUUUGAGGGAUACAUAG